CUGGAUGUAGAAAAACAUUGCACUUCUUGCAUAAAUAAAUUGUUUAUUAAUUACGGUAUCUUCUUCUUACAUCUUUUCGGAUAAUGAUAUGACCAAUAUCAUCUGUUCUUAUAGCUGUAGGUAGAGCGUUUUUAGACGGCCUAACCAAAUUAGUGUUGAAAAUGGAUACUGCAGACUCAUAAAUAAUUUCUUUAUUUGAUUUUUCUGAAGUUUUGAACAAACUUAAAACAAGUUUUGAUCUAUAGUCAAAUUGUGACAUUUUUUACCAUUUACCAAAUUACAAAAAUUAAUCACUGCACUAUCUAUCACAUUACUAAAAAACAGCUACCACCAUUUUUUCCCGUUGACUCUAAUCCUGUAAUUGGCUAUAGCAUUAUCAUGCAGAUCAAC